CGAGGAGUAUUAUCUGCAUAGAAAAUCACACAAACAAACAAUCACAGUCCCACACCCACACAAGGUACACAAUGGAUUAAAAUUCACAGAAAAAGUUAAGUAGAACCCUAAAUAAUUUGUUGCCUUAUAUAUUUGGAAAUUUCACAUGCCUAAUUAAAGUUCAAAUUCAAAUCUAAAGUCAUCAGAAACCAUCAUCAAUCACAGAUUCAUCUGAAUUCAAUAAUUUCAAAAUACAACAUGAAUUUCUAUAUAUUAGAAAAAUCCAUUAAAAUUAAAAUAAAUAGUAAGUUUGAAUGAAUAAUAGACAUUAAACACCUGAAGAUUAAAUCCAUAAAAUUUAAAUUCUAAAAUCCAUAAAAUUUGAGUCCCGAAUUCACCUGACUAUUCAUCAUUAUAUGUUAUAUAUUGUAUUAGAUGAAAAUAAAAUAUAAUGUUACAUUCUGAGAAGAGAAAAAAAAAAGGGAAGAAGAUAAUCAACAGUAAAAAAUAAAAUUACAUAAAAUAAAAAGAUUAGAGAAAUAAUUACCUGAGAUAAAUGAAUGUGAUUGAGAAUUAAGUGAAAAUUAGAUGCUCUUUUUUUUCCUUCCUUUGUGUGUAUUGUUGGUGAGUGAUUGAAGCUGCUAGAUGACCUGAUGGAACCAAAGCUAUCUAUCUAUAUUUUCUUCAAAGAAAUAAAUCCUUACAAAAUUUAAUUUUCUUUUCUCAAAUCCAAAAGAAGGAAAUUAAAAACCUCAAGAAUUUUUAUUUUUUUUAAAAAUCAACUUUAAAUUCAUUUCUUCUUUGUAAAGAAAAUAUAGAUGAAAAAUAAUUGGAUUUUGUUCUUAC
rnacentral:lncRNA from 1 species